GACGAACGCUGGCGGCGUGCUUAACACAUGCAAGUCGAACGGAAACUUCUCUUUCGGUGGGUACUCGGUUGGCAACCGGUUGAGUAACACGUUUGUAAUCUGCCUUUCACCUUGAGAUAGCUUCAGGUACCGGGUACUAAUUCCGGCUCGGAGCUCUUUCUGCUUUGUAUGGGUUGGAAAGUUUCUGCGGUUGGGGUUGGGUUCGCGGCUUACCAGCUUGUUAGUGGUGUAGUGGCUUACCAGGGCUUUGACGGGUAGCCGGCGUGAGAGGGUGACCGGCAACAGUGGGACUGAGACACGGACAAGACUCAGACGGGAGGCAGAAGCAGGGAAGAUUGAACAAUGGGUGGAAGCCUGAUGCAGCAACGCCGUGGGCGGGUGGAUGGCCUACGCGUUGUAAUCGGAAUUCGCUCAUGCCGAAGAUUUGUGUGACGGUAGUGGGUAAAGAAGCACCGGCUAACUACGUG
rnacentral:rRNA from 1 species